ensembl:snRNA U6 U6 spliceosomal RNA
AUGCUCACUUUGGCAGCACACAUAGUAAAAUUGGAGCAGUACAAAAAUUAACAUGGCCACUGUGCAAGGAUGACACACAAAUGCAUGAAGUGUUCAUAUUAAAA